GCUGGGCGUGGUGGCGCAUGCCUGUAAUUGUAGCGGCUCGGGAGGCUGAGGCAGGAGGAUCGCGAGUUCAAAGUCAGCCUCAGCAACUCAGUGAGGCCCUAAGCAACUCGGUGAGACCCUGUCUCUA
rnacentral:sRNA from 1 species